rnacentral:rRNA from 1 species
GGUGUAUGCGUCGGGGAUUGGUUCCUUGUAGUCGUAAACAAAACGACUCUCGGCAACGGAUAUCUCGGCUCUCGCAUCGAUGAAGAACGUAGCGAAAUGCGAUACUUGGUGUGAAUUGCAGAAUCCCGUGAACCAUCGAGUCUUUGAACGCAAGU